rnacentral:rRNA from 1 species
CCGUAGUCAAAAGGGAAACAGCCCAGACCGCCAGUUAAGGUCCCCAAAUUUAUGCUAAGUGGGAAAGGAUGUGGAAUUGUUUAAACAACUAGGAGGUUGGCUUAGAAGCAGCCAUCCUUUAAAGAGUGCGUAAUAGCUCACUAGUCGAAUGAUUCUGCGCCGAAAAUGUAUCGGGGCUAAGCAUAAUACCGAAACUGCGGAAUUAGUUUAUACUAAUUGGUAGGGGAGCGUACUUUGUCAGAGAAGAUAGAUCGAAAGGACUAUUGGAGGUAAAGCAGUGAGUAUGCCGGUGUGAGUAACGAAAAGAUAGGUGAGAAUCCUAUCCGUCGAAAGCCUAAGGUUUCCAGGGGAAGGGUCGUCCUCCCUGGGUUAGUCGGGUCCUAAGGUGAGGCCGAAAGGCGUAGCUGAUGGACAUCAGGUUGAUAUUCCUGGACCACCUUGUAUAUCUGAUGGAAUGACGAAGAAGGCUAGCCACAGCUGAUUAGUGGAUUUCAGUUGAAGCACAAAGGCGGGCAUAUAGGCAAAUCCGUAUGCUAUUAAACGUUGAAGUGUGAGAAUGUGUGGUGAAGCCAAGCUUCCAAGAAAAGUUUCUAAAGUAAGUGCAAGGUGCCCGUACCGCAAACGGACACACGUAGGCGAGGAGAGAAUCCAAAGACGCGCGAGAUAACUCUUGUUAAGGAACUCUGCAAAAUUACCCCGUAACUUCGGAAUAAGGGGGGCUCUUAGAAAUAAGAGUCGCAGAUAAUAGGCCCAAGCGACUGUUUACCAAAAACAUAGGUCUCUGCUAAACCGCAAGGUGAAGUAUAGGGGCUGACGCCUGCCCAGUGCUGGAAGGUUAAGAGGAGAUGUUAGGCGCAAGCCGAAGCUUUGAAUUGAAGCCCCAGUAAACGGCGGCCGUAACUAUAACGGUCCUAAGGUAGCGAAAUUCCUUGUCGGGUAAGUUCCGACCCGCACGAAAGGCGUAACGAUUUGGGCGCUGUCUCAACUCGAGACUCGGUGAAAUCAUACUACCUGUGAAGAUGCAGGUUACCCGCGACUAGACGGAAAGACCCCAUGGAGCUUCACUGCAGUUUGAUAUUGAUAUUGGGUAUUGGAUGUACAGGAUAGGUGGGAGGCUGAGAAGUCGGGACGUCAGUUUCGAUGGAGCCACCGUUGGGAUACCACCCUUCUAAUAUUUAGUAUCUAACUAGUGAUCACAAUCAGGUCAUAGGACAGUGUCAGAUGGGCAGUUUGACUGGGGCGGUCGCCUC